rnacentral:lncRNA from 1 species
AAAUAUAUGUGAUGCAAAAUAUUUUUAAAGAUUUUGUGUAAAAUAUUGGAUGAAAAAUGAAUUAAAAGUCAAUCAAAAUUAAAUCAAAAAUCAAAAUGGAAAUAAAAAUGAAAAUAAAAUAAAAACUAAAAUAAAAGAAAUAAGCGCCAAUGACUAGAAUUUGAAAAAUGCGCGUGUUAGGUUGUGAUUUGAUAGAUUUGAAUGUUUGGC